rnacentral:lncRNA from 1 species
GCCCAAUUUUGUUACAUAUUGGUAUGUGGCUGCGUUCGCCCCCCCUUUUUUUAACCCUAAAUUAUUUUCUCGUUUUUCACGUACACACUUUCUACACUGCUAAAUGAUGUAUUUUUUUAAAAAAAUUCUAUAGGGAUGGUGCUUUGAAAAAUCAUAUUAAUCUAUAUUACAUUUUUUAAUAAUUAAUUAUGUAUUAAUCUAUUUC